CCUACGGGAGGCAGCAGUGGGGAAUAUUGGGCAAUGGGCGCAAGCCCGACCCAGCAACGCCGCGUGAAGGAAGACGGCUUUCGGGUUGUAAACUUCUUUUUAGAGGGAAGAGCAGAAGACGGUACCUCUUGAAUAAGCCACGGCUAACUACGUGCAAGCAGCCGCGGUAAUACGUAGGUGGCAAGCGUUGUCCGGAUUUACUGGGUGUAAAGGGCGUGCAGCCGGGAAGACAAGUCAGAUGUGAAAUCCCGCGGCUCAACCGCGGAAUUGCAUUUGAUACUGUUUUCCUUGAGUACCGGAGAGGUAAUCGGAAUUCCUUGUGUAGCGGUGAAAUGCGUAGAUAUAAGGAAGAACACCGGUGGCGAAGGCAGAUGACUGGACGGCAACUGACGGUGAGGCGCGAAAGCGUGGGGAGCAAACAGGAUUAGAUACCCUAGUAGUC
rnacentral:rRNA from 1 species